rnacentral:rRNA from 1 species
UACGUAGGGUGCAAGCGUUGUCCGGAAUUAUUGGGCGUAAAGAGCUCGUAGGCGGUUUGUCGCGUCUGCUGUGAAAACUCGGGGCUUAACUCCGGGUCUGCAUUCGAUACGGGCAGACUAGAGUGUGGUAGGGGAGAUCGGAAUUCCUGGUGUAGCGGUGAAAUGCGCAGAUAUCAGGAGGAACACCGAUGGCGAAGGCAGGUCUCUGGGCAUUAACUGACGCUGAGGAGCGAAAGCAUGGGGAGCGAACAGG